GGCUAAUCCCCCAUAGGCCUGAGGUACUGGAAGGUCCUCAGGCCGAAAGGGGCUCUGCCCGCCCGAGGAUGGGCCGGCGGCCGAUUAGGUAGUUGGUGGGGUAACGGCCCACCAAGCCGAAGAUCGGUACGGGCCAUGAGAGUGGGAGCCCGGAGAUGGACACUGAGACACGGGUCCAGGCCCUACGGGGCGCAGCAGGCGCGAAACCUCCGCAAUGCGGGCAACCGCGACGGGGGGACCCCCAGUGCCGUGGCAACGCCACGGCUUUUCCGGAGUGUAAAAAGCUCCGGGAAUAAGGGCUGGGCAAGGCCGGUGGCAGCCGCCGCGGUAAUACCGGCGGCCCGAGUGGUGGCCGCUAUUAUUGGGCCUAAAGCGUCCGUAGCCGGGCCCGUAAGUCCCUGGCGAAAUCCCACGGCUCAACCGUGGGGCUUGCUGGGGAUACUGCGGGCCUUGGGACCGGGAGAGGCCGGGGGUACCCCUGGGGUAGGGGUGAAAUCCUAUAAUCCCAGGGGGACCGCCAGUGGCGAAGGCGCCCGGCUGGAACGGGUCCGACGGUGAGGGACGAAGGCCAGGGGAGCGAACCGGAUUAGAUACCCGGGUAGUCCUGGCUGUAAAGGAUGCGGGCUAGGUGUCGGGCGAGCUUCGAGCUCGCCCGGUGCCGA
rnacentral:rRNA from 1 species